rnacentral:rRNA from 1 species
GACGAACGCUGGCGGCGUGCUUAACACAUGCAAGUCGAACGGAAAGGCCCUGCUUUUGUGGGGUGCUCGAGUGGCGAACGGGUGAGUAACACGUGAGUAACCUGCCCUUGACUUUGGGAUAACUUCAGGAAACUGGGGCUAAUACCGGAUAGGAGCUCCUGCUGCAUGGUGGGGGUUGGAAAGUUUCGGCGGUUGGGGAUGGACUCGCGGCUUAUCAGCUUGUUGGUGGGGUAGUGGCUUACCAAGGCUUUGACGGGUAGCCGGCCUGAGAGGGUGACCGGCCACAUUGGGACUGAGAUACGGCCCAGACUCCUACGGGAGGCAGCAGUGGGGAAUAUUGCACAAUGGGCGGAAGCCUGAUGCAGCAACGCCGCGUGCGGGAUGACGGCCUUCGGGUUGUAAACCGCUUUCGCCUGUGACGAAGCGUGAGUGACGGUAAUGAGUAAAGAAGCACCGGCUAACUACGUGCCAGCAGCCGCGGUGAUACGUAGGGUGCGAGCGUUGUCCGGAUUUAUUGGGCGUAAAGGGCUCGUAGGUGGUUGAUCGCGUCGGAAGUGUAAUCUUGGGGCUUAACCCUGAGCGUGCUUUCGAUACGGGUUGACUUGAGGAAGGUAGGGGAGAAUGGAAUUCCUGGUGGAGCGGUGGAAUGCGCAGAUAUCAGGAGGAACACCAGUGGCGAAGGCGGUUCUCUGGGCCUUUCCUGACGCUGAGGAGCGAAAGCGUGGGGAGCGAACAGGCUUAGAUACCCUGGUAGUCCACGCUGUAAACGGUGGGUACUAGGUGUGGGGUCCAUUCCACGGGUUCCGUGCCGUAGCUAACGCUUUAAGUACCCCGCCUGGGGAGUACGGCCGCAAGGCUAAAACUCAAAGGAAUUGACGGGGCCCCGCACAAGCGGCGGAGCAUGCGGAUUAAUUCGAUGCAACGCGUAGAACCUUACCUGGGUUUGACAUGGAUCGGGAGCGCUCAGAGAUGGGUGUGCCUCUUUUGGGGUCGGUUCACAGGUGGUGCAUGGCUGUCGUCAGCUCGUGUCGUGAGAUGUUGGGUUAAGUCCCGCAACGAGCGCAACCCUUGUUCACUGUUGCCAGCACGUUAUGGUGGGGACUCAGUGGAGACCGCCGGGGUCAACUCGGAGGAAGGUGGGGAUGACGUCAAGUCAUCAUGCCCCUUAUGUCCAGGGCUUCACGCAUGCUACAAUGGCUGGUACAGAGAGUGGCGAGCCUGUGAGGGUGAGCGAAUCUCGGAAAACCGGUCUCAGUUCGGAUUGGGGUCUGCAACUCGACCUCAUGAAGUCGGAGUCGCUAGUAAUCGCAGAUCAGCAACGCUGCGGUGAAUACGUUCCCGGG